ACUACCAUAACAGUGCCCACAAGCAGCAUGUCAACAAGCUGGGUGUUCUUGCGGCUACCUCCCGUUGUUGUUAUAACAAGUGCAAUUCAGGCUCUUCAUUCAUUUGGAUGAAGCAACCGAACACAAAGUGCACAACCGGAAUAAAGAUGUGGAGAUGAAGAACUCAUUUUUUUCUUAUCCAUGGAGUUCAUUUCUCCUAAAUUUUGAAGUUCACAUCUCCUGCUAAUUGGAGCUAGAGAAGGAAGUUCAUUACAAAUCUCUGGCAAGAAGCUCCAUAUAUUUCUCGGAGAAAGUAUUCUCUCCAGGCAACUCCAGCGGCAAACUGAAGGAUGCAGCCCCAUUCAUCGCCCAGAAUCUUUGCCUUUGCUCCUGCCUCAGCAGCACAGUCACUUCAUAGCUUCUUCACCAGCGGUUGUGGAAUAAAUCAUCGCCUAUACGGACAAAGUCGACAUAAUGCUAUGCUUGUACUGUGGUGUUACAAGGUGUUGAAAGCUUAGAUGUGCGUCCUUAAAUUACUCUAGUUCUAACAAGUGGGCUGCAAGUGUAUCUUGUCGUUCCUGUAACCUAUUUGUUUGAAGAUACCAGGGAUCCAACAAUCUCAGUUGGUUAGAGAUUGUCCCUUGAUUAGGAUCCUUAUAUUCUGAGUUUUCUA